ACAAUGUGUGAUACUUCUAUUCAACAUUAUAUUGAAUUUCUUUCUUUGGAAGCAAUGAAAAAAUUAUUCUUGCAAAAGAGUCUUAUAACUUAAUCUGGACAUAUACACAUUACCCAAGUGUUAAAGCUAUACCUGAUAAAUAAGUUUGAUAACUAGAAAAAUGAAACAAACUAUUUUCUGCGCUGUACACGUCUGCAUUCCUACAUGAUGCUCUCUCCGAAGAUGAUAAGAGUACAGAAGAUGGUCAGGAUGCUUGAAAACUGGUGGCCAGUAAGUCUGUUCUCCUAAUAAAUUAAAUCACUGAAAAUGUGAUUGAGCAUAAAACACAGAGUUGUGGAUGCUGGAGUUGUAUUUAUAUUUGGAGAGAUUUCAGUGCACAUUUUUCUUUUAAAUAGGACUCAGAGAUGAGUGUGAAAACAGGAUGUUCCGGUGAUUUUUGUCUCUCUGCCACACCCCACUGCCCCUUGUUUUGCGCUGAGGCUGGCAGCCUGGAACACAUGCUAGAGAGAUGCCUGGGUGCUGAGGACUGCUGCUGAGCUUUUCCUAUUCACUCACCACAAGCCAGACUGAGGAAUUUCCUUCAAUGGGAGGGGCAGAACUGCCUCAGAGGCCCUGAUGGCCCAGCUGAUUAUAGAGAUACUGUCUGGAUUGCCAGGAGCUUCAGAACACCUCAGAUUGCAGAUUGCCUGGCCAUCAAGGCAUUUUAUCGGCGCCGCCUGAGGAAGGGACCCUUGGAAAUCCUGUGACAAUGCUGCCACAUUGCCCCACACUGGCAUUAUCAUCAGCUGAAACAAUCUCUUCGUUGUGUGGUGGUCAUCUGUCCUCUCUGAUCAGGAUGUGAGCGCCGUGAGAUCAGGGACCUCAUCUGUCUCGCUUAGCACUACAUACUCCACGCUCAGAGCUACGCCAGACGCCCAACAGACAGCGGAUGUGUCCGACAAGUGUUUAUUGAUCAUGACUGAGUGAAUGAAGGGAUAAAUGCUCUAUUUUAACAGGACUUUCAUGAAGCUAAAAGCCAUAUCUUCUAAGAAGGAGUUAGCCCCUCCAUUUUACCAAACUUAUUUUUCCCUCAUUUCAUUUCUCAGAAAGAGUCUUGUAUUUCAUUAAGCAAAAAUAGGGCAUCAAGAGAUAUGUGACCCUAUUUCAAAUGCUGGUAGGUGUUUCAAAUAUCGAUUGCUUGUAAGAAAUAGCCUGAGAACAUAAUGGCUUAACACCACCAGAUAUAUUUCUUGAUUCUCCCAUUUCUGCAAUCUGGCUGGACAGUUCUUUUGCCCCCCAUGGUGUCUACUGGAGCUGAAAUGUCUAAGAUUGUUUCUUCACUCACUGAUACCCAGAAUGUCAGCUGUGAUCUCUGGAGCAACACAGAGCUGGCCAGACAUGUCUCUCUUUUUCCACUUGGCUUAGGCUUCCUCACAGUGAAGUCGUCCCAAGGUAGCUGAGUUCUUACGCUGCAGCGCUUUUCUAAGAAAGAAGCAGCAGAAGCUGCUGCUCUUCCUGAAUGCUUGACUUGGAUCCGCAGAGUCCUCUUCUCAGCAUCCUGCCGGUCUAAGGGGAGGAAGGAAGCAUCCUGGGGCCAACGGGGAGGAAGGGAGGAGGAAUAGGCUCAAUCUCUUGGUGUGAGGAGUGAUGUGCAUCACUAGUGGCUGUCUGCAGAGGCUCUGUGUCCCCAUAGGGAGGUGGUUCUAGAGUGGCCUGCCUGCCUGCCUGUGUACCAGUACGUGCCAGGCAGGGACAAGCAGCAGAGUGCUGGGUGAGGCGGGAAGACAGUGCGCCCUCCUUGCUCCUAGCUUGGUGCUGCUGACAUGUUGAUAUCACUUCAACACUUCGAUGUGGCAGCAGCUCCAGCCAAGUCACUACUGCCAGUUGCUCAUCUGUCAUUAUGCCCAUCUGUCCUCAAAUAUGACUGAUGACCUUUAUAAAGGUUCUUCAGCUUUAUUGAACACCUGUCUUCUGCAAAACCACAUGAGAUUCGUAAAAACCUCCUCAUUAAUAAUCACCGCAUCCCCGUUGGGAGUUUGAAGGAGAUAGGUAUAUUCUCAUUUUAGAAAUGAAGAACAUGCAACAAAUGAAACGCUAGGGAGCUUCACCAAGAUCACAAAGCUGGGCAGCGAAUGAAGGGAAGAGGCAAUGUGUGUGUAUGAGAGAGAGAGAAUGAGAGACAUGCACACAGACAAAGAAGGGGAAAGACAGGGAAAAAGGGAAGAAGAAUCAUCAAAAUUUUUUUCUUUUUUCUUCCAAUGCUAUAUGACAACAAUUUAUAUGUCUUAACAUGCUAAACACUUUCCAGAAGCAAUAAACUUCUGGUAAAAACAGACUAUGACUUGUCCCCACAAAAUCAUUGUGUUGAAAUUUAAACUAUAUUAGAUUCAAAUGUGCUUUACGCCCUCCUAGCUGUACAUCCUUGGACAAGAUACUAGCCCUCAGGUGUGGGUGAGUAUGUUUCGAAGUUCCGUUGGGCAGAUUAAAGGAAGAGACACAGAGCGUGCCAUGUGUGGCAAGCGGUAUAAUAGGCACCCAGUAAAUAAGAAUGGCUGUUGUAAGACUCUUGAUAGUAGGAUGAUUGAUAUGUUAAUUGAAAUGAAGAGGAUUUUUUAAAGGCCUUCUCUCUUUGUUAUUCCUACACCUACUGAUUUUUAAAAACAGCAGGAUUGAUUUAUAGUUAAUGAGUUUGAAUGCUCUCAAAUGCAGCUAAGUCAGCACAUUUAGAUCUUAGUCUGUGUGACCUUGCGCCAGUUAAUGUUUCUGGGUGUUAGAAUGCUCAUCUGUAAUUUAACAGAGAUGGACCACACGGUCUCUAAAGUUUUCUAAGUCAGCACAUUUAGAUCUUAGUCUGUGUGACCUUGCGCCAGUUAAUGUUUCUGGGUGUUAGAAUUCUCAUCUGUAAUUUAACAGAGAUGGACCACACGGUCUCUAAAGUUUCCUACAUUUUCCGACAUCUACAGUUCUGUAGAAAUAAUGAACACAUUUCAAUUCUUUAUUCAAGCUAUCAUUUAUGACCAUGUUGCCCUCUAGUGGCAAGAAUUAAGGAAAAAUGAUCCUGAGAAAGUUUCAUGUCCACAGCAUUUUGGUGAAUGCUUUGGCUUGCUUCAUAAUUGUUCUAGCAUGUCUAUAUGAAAAUUACAUCCCAAAUUACCAACUUUCAACGACAAACAUUUAUACAAUUUUUGAGAGUCAGCAAUGUGUGAGCAGCUUAGCCGUGUGCUUCUGGCUCAGGGUCAUGUAGGAGGCUGUGAUCAAGGAGUGAGCCAGAGCUGCUAGUCUGAAAGUUUCACUAGACUGGACGAGGUGCUUCCAAAUUCUCCUACCAGGCUGAUGGCAGGAGGCCCCAGUUCCUCACCCUGUGUAUCUCCCCAGAGGGCUGCUCAAGAUAUGGCCCCUGGUUCCUCCCAGGACAAGCCAUCCCAGAGAGAGAAGCCCAGGACAUAAGCUGCCAUGUCUUUGCGGACUAAUUUCAGAAGUUUUAUACCAUGGAUAAAUGAACUAGAAUUAUAUAAAUUCAACAUGGGUAAAUUUCAAAACAAACAAUUGUACAAAUAAAGCAAGUUUUUGAGUACAUACAGCAUUUGUAUUUAUAAAUAUACAGUUUAUGUAUAUAAUAAUAUGAUUGUAUACAAGUUUAUUAACAUAGUGUGUAGAUAUAUCAUAUAUAAAAUGAAGAAAGCCUACUUUAAAGAUUGUGUGUGUGUCUGCUCAUGCAUGUGUGUACAGUAGCCAUAUGACAAAAAUACACAUGGAAAUGACAAAUACUGAACCUGUCAUAGUGAUGACUUCUGUUGGAAGGGGAUAGGAAUGAGACUGGGGAGGUGCCUACAGGGACUUUAAUUGUCAAUAUUUAUGUUUUAAGUUUAAUUAUGACUAUACAAACAAAACAUUUGUUAUAUUAGUCUAUUUGUUUUCUGAAACAGUCCAUAAAAAGUCAAAUCAUGUAGUUACCCCUAGAAAAGAAAAUAAACAAGACUCUGGAGUGACUUCAUUUUACAUAUAUGUAAGAUUUUAUCAUACAAACAUUUAUGGAAAUUUGCACCAAAAAUGACAAAAUGUUAAUAUUUAUUUACAGAUAAAGGGGUCUGGGAUGAUGGUUGCAUUGUUUCUUGUAUUUUUUUUUUAUUCUCUUCAAAAUUAAAGAGAAAAAAAUACAGUCAUCUCCUGUAGGGAAAUAUGCUA